UUCAGGAUCAAGAUUCCAACGUUGCGCGCUACGGAAGGAGGAGGAGGAGGUGGAAGAAGAGGAGGAGGAGGAGGAGGAGGAGGAGGGUGAAGGGUUACGCGAUGAUGGUAUACAAACGAGACGGACGUUUCUCGAACCGGUUGACAUCUGUUACGUACGUACGGUAUAUCUCAGUCGGCCACGGCCUUUCAUUUAUAACGGAGAGAGGAACAAACCGAUCGCAGCGUGCACGGAUGGUGGAUCGCCGGCCGGUAGACGACGGUAGUGUCGCGAAGAGAGAGGUGAGACGGCGAGAGGAAACGGGCGAGCGAAGAAAACGUACAGCAAAACGGAUCGCUCGACACUUGCGGAAUAGGUCGAUCCGUGAAGGUCGAUCCUCUUUCGAGCGAGGAGGGAACAGUAUCUCCUCUUAUUCUCGCGUUUCGAUAAAUCGAGACGCGAGGUCGAGAAACGAGAUACGGAGAGAAGGAAUGAGAGACGGGCCACCGGAAAAGGGGCCACCGUGAGAAAUCCGAAGCAACGAGGAGGAGGCGGUGGAGGAGGAACGAGUGGCCGAAGGUCUUCGACCGUCGGGGCCUCUUCUCGGUUCCGUGAUUCGACGGAAAUCGUCGUUGAUAACGACGAUUAUGGUCGUUGGGUGGAACCUGGUCGAGCGUUUGGGGAAAGGAAAGGAUGGACGGGCGGGGUGAUUCCGCUCGUCGAAUGGCCAUUUCAAUUUUCAAAUUAAAAUCAUUUUUCUCGACCCGCCCCCCCCUUCUCCCCAAUUGAUCGUUGUUAAUUAUAAAAAUACCCACGAUAAAAUUUAUUUUCCACUUGG